rnacentral:tRNA from 1 species
GGCUAUAGCUCAGUUGGUGGAGUGCUUGCCUUUCAUGCACAAGGCCCUGGGUUUGAUCCCCAGCACCA